AGCAGCCGCGGUAAUUCCAGCUCCAAUAGCGUAUAUUAAAGUUGUUGCAGUUAAAAAGCUCGUAGUUGAAUUUCGGGGUUAGUAGGCUGGUCAUGCCACCGGUAUGUACUGGUCUUUCUGAUUCCUCCUUCCUGAUGAACUGUAAUGCCAUUAAUUUGGUGUUGCAGGGAAUCUGGACUGUUACUUUGAAAAAAUUAGAGUGUUUAAAGCAGGCUAACGCUUGAAUACAUUAGCAUGGAAUAAUGAAAUAGGACGUUCGAUCCUAUUUUGUUGGUUUCUAGGAUUGACGUAAUGAUUAAUAGGGAUAGUUGGGGGCAUUAGUAUUCAAUUGUCAGAGGUGAAAUUCUUGGAUUUAUUGAAGACUAACUACUGCGAAAGCAUUUGCCAAGGAUGUUUUCAUUAAUCAAGAACGAAAGUUAGGGGAUCGAAGACGAUCAGAUACCGUCGUAGUCUUAACCAUAAACUAUGCCGACUAGGGAUCGGAUGAUGUUAAUUUUUAAAUGACUCAUUCGGCACCUUA
rnacentral:sRNA from 1 species